rnacentral:lncRNA from 1 species
CCGAAUAGGAAAGAAGCGCAUCUAAGUGUUUUGCAAGCAAGUAAACAUAGCACAUAAUAAUAAAUAUAGUAGACAAUCUGGGAUUCAACUGUCUUCUUAUUAAAGAUACAGAGUACAACACAGUUACAAACAAGGUAGUUCCGAUUCGGACUACAAAACAAGGGAAAAGCUAUGCUACCCGCUGCGGGCCCACGAUCACGACCACGGCUCAGUCUUCUGGAUAGUUCACGUAAAGGCGAUCGGUCUCCUCGUCGUACUGCCACGCCAGUUGGGUGCCAUCGGGAUCCUCUGCCUCUGGGGUACCUGUACCUGCUGGAAGUUUCGGAGGAAUCCGUGAGCCACGGGGACUCAGCAAUCUAAGGCCUUGGUGCCAUAACUAGUCAUGUUAUUGGGUAAGGAAGGGUGAAGUGUUUCAGGCUGCUGCAUCCUAAGUUUUGAAUAAGUGGCUAACUUACGCAAAGAAGAAGUGACGGUGUUCUAUGCUAUCGGUCGUGAGUACUUGAU